rnacentral:rRNA from 1 species
AUGUGUGUGCCAAAAGAUAAGUGUGGAAUGGGAUUCAGAGAUUUGCAUUGUUUUAAUUUAGCUCUUUUAGCGAAGCAAUGUUGGAGGCUUUUGUGUGAACCAGAAUCUUUAUGUGCUAAAGUGUUGAGAGCCAAAUAUUUUCCUGAUGGAGACCUUCUUAAUUGCAGCCUUAAGAAAGGUAGCUCGUAUACUUGGCAGAGUUUGUAGAGUGGUAGUCAGUCUUUUAAGAUAUGGCAUAUUUGGAGAGUCAGUGAUGGAUCCCAAAUCAAUAUUUGGGAAGACCCAUGGAUACCUCGUAGCCCCUCUCGGAAGGUAAUGACACCAAGAGGUAAUAUUGUGAUUACAAAAGUUUCUGAGCUUAUUGAUACAGAGAAUAGGGUGUGGGAUGAACAGUUGAUAAUGGAGUUGUUUUGGCCUAUCGAUGCGCAUCGCAUUUUAAACAUCCCACUAGCUUUGUGAAUGAUGAGUGAUUUUGUUUCAUGGCACUGUAAUAGAAGUGGUUAUUUCACAGUCAGAUCAUACCAUGAAGAGUGGGACCAUCAGCACGGACGAAAGUUGAGAAUGACUAACUCUAUACAAGCCUCAAGUAGUAGUCCAGUCUGGAGUACCAUUUGGAAACUGUGUGUGCCAUCAAAAAUUAAAAUACACAUAUGGAGAACUUUGCUUGGAGCUAUCCCCUGCUAUGGAGUUCUUGCCAAUGGGCAUAUGAUUACAAGUGCGCAAUGUCCUAUUUGCAGUUCAGAUUGUGAGAGUAUUAGGCGUGCCAUGUUCUUAUGUCCUAGAAUAUAGGAAAUAUGGAGAAUCUUGGGGCUGCAUGAUUUAGUA